GGAAUACUGGAGUAAGUUGCUAUUUCCUCUUCCAGGGAUCUUCCUGACCCAGGGAUUGAACCCAUGUCUCCUACAUCUCCUGAAUUGCAAGUGGAUUUUUUAACCUGCUGAGCCCUCAGGGAAACCCCUAGCUCUGAAGAAUGAGGCCGCAAGAGAUGGAAGAGUUCAUAAGAUGGAAGUCACCAGAGUCUUUAAAUCAUCAUGUGGAGGAAAGCAACAUGCUAGGAAUACCCAGAAAUUACAGCUGCCCUACAUGACUGGAAGCAGUGCUUUGAAGUGCCCCCCACACCUGGGGUUAUGCUGUUUCAGCUCAUGUUGCCCAGAUUUCGGG